GUCUUCUGCGUCGCUCACGCUGGGAGCCGUAGACCGGAGCUGUUCCUAUUCGGCCAUCUUGGCUCUUCCCCCGGUAUUUUGCCACUCUAUCAAGAAAGUUAAGGACUCUCAAGCUUUUGGAUGCUUAGAAAAUACAUCAGAGGAGGACAGAAACUCAGAUAUCUCUGCAUCCUGAAUUCAUUGGUGGAAUUGCUACUGUGCCCAGUAAAAGCAUUUCAGUCAUGCAAGGAGAGGAUGUUAAGGUAAAGGAAUGAAACCGAAGACCAGAAAGUGGUAAAAAGCAGCAGUGAAGAAACCAAAACUAAAACAAACCAGCAAAGACCAUAUUCAGCUCACAGCCUUUCAGGAACUGAAGAUCAUUGGCCCAGACUCUCCACUGAAUCCGAAGAAUGCUUUGCAGGGGAUGUUCAGAGGCUUACCUGAGAAUGAGAGAAAAAGAAAUGAGCAAAUGACUCCUGAUUAUCAGUGGGAGACAGGAAGCGACCAUUUAACAUCCAAAGGAAAACUCAGAGAUCUUUAAAAAGCAUCUAUAACCCACUGAAUAAGAUGGGUUAGAAGAUGAAGCUGCUGAGAAGUGCUGCAAAGCUGAUGGUAUUGAUAUCAACACAGACAUCAUAUGCUUUUGGGGAACAGUGCACUCAGUUGACACUUAUUCCUAAUAAAUUCAAACAGUGGAGAGUUCUCUAACUUAUUUUUAAAGUCUCUUUAAUCUAUACUUCCUAUUGUUGAAUGAUACAAAUUAGUUUCUUGAUCUCUGUUCAGAUACUGGGUUACAUACAAUUUUUGGCCAUUUAAGUAUACUGUAAAUCCCUCCAGAAAACUUUCUUAUAUUGUCUUGUGCUUCACAGCUAGUUUUCAGGCAUAUGUACUGCUUACAAAUUAGUUUGGUAUUUAAAAAGGAGUUGUGGCUUGAGUUACAAAGAUUUAAAGUUAAAGCAAUGCUCUUAAUAAUUUCUAUUUUCUCACUGAAUCAAUUCACACUAGACACCCCUUUAACUUCCAUAUACAUGAUCACUCACCUUCUGUCCAAAAAUCUAUUUUAGGAAAGAGCAGAAGUACAAGAGGACCUUGUAAACAAUACUACUAAUAUUAGUAGGAAUACGGCAAGGUUUAAGAGUGACAACUUUAGCUUCACUACUUUCAAGCUGCUUACUAGCUGGGACAAGUUGUAUAAAUUCUCCGAGCCCAUUUUCCUCAUUUAAAAAAGGGGCCAUAGACAUUUUUCCAAAGACAUACAAAUGGCCAACAAGCACAUGAAAAGAUGCUCAAUAUAGUUAACCAUUAGGGAAAUAUAAAUAAAAAACACAAUUUCAACCACAAUAGUACUACAUACACAUUAGAAUAAUUAUGUUAAAAAUAAAAAAAUAACAAGUGCUUUCAAGAAUGUAGAGAAAUUGGAACCUCUGCAUUACUGAUAGGAAUGUAAAAUGGUACAGUCUCUUUGGAAAGCAGUCUGAUAGUUCCUCAAAAGGUUAGACAUAGAAUGACCGAAUGACCCAGCAAUUCUACUCCUAGGUAUACACAAGAGAAAUGGAAACAUAUGUCCACACAUAAAUUUGUACAUGAAUGCUCACAGCAGCAUUGUUCAUAAGAGCCACAGAAUACAAAUGAUCAAAAUGUCAGUCAACUAACUAAUGAAUAAAUAAAAUGUGGUCGAUUAUUAUUUAGCAAUGAAAAGGAGUGAAGUACUUAUACAUGCAAUAACAAUGACUGAACCUUGAUAACACUAUGCUAAAUGUAAGAAGCCUAUCACAAAAGACCACAUGUUACAUAUUUUAUUCAUAUUAAAUAUCCAGAAUAGGCAAAUCUAUAGUUACAGAUAGUUGAUUAAUAACUACCUAAAGCUGAGGAUGGGGUGAGGCUGAGGGACUGAGGAGUGACUGUCAAUGGGUACAGAGUUUCUUUCUGGGGUGUUGAAAAUGUUAUGAAAUUCUGGUGAUGCUUGCACAACAUCGUGAAUAGACCAAAAAUCAUUGAAAUGGAUGUUUUAAAUUGCCAAUUGUACGGUAUAUGACUAAUAUAAUAAUAAAACUGUUAAAAUGAGGCAAGUAGUUGGGUUUAUCACAAAGAGUUGCUGGGAAAAUUAAAUAAAAUAAGCUAUAUAAAGUAUUUAAUAUAGUGCCUAGUACCCUGUAAGCAAUCAAUAAGUGACAGCUCCACCACCACCACCACUGCCACUACUACUACUACUGAUAUUAUCACUACAAAUAAUAAUAAUUAUUAUUAGUAGUAGAAUUAUUAUUAAAUAAGAUUAUAAUAAUAAUUGCUAUUCUUAGCAGUACUAGAAAUGUUAUUAAAUUAUACUAAGUAGAGUAAUAACAUUAUUAUUUGUAAUAGUAGAGCUGUUAUUAAAUAAUAAUUACUAUAGUUGUUAAUAUUAUUUAGCUGUCCUUAUUAGAAUGAUAGUUUUUUCCUAGGAUAGAGUUUGGGGUCUAGAUAAUGUUACCAUACCCAGUGUGCUAUAAUAAAAAGAAAAAACUUCGGAGUGAAACAGAUCUUGUUGAAAUCCCAUCUUUGUCACUUACUAAUUAUGUAACAUCAUGUAAGCUAUUUCACCUGUCUGUGGUUACGUUUCCUCAUCUGCAAAAUAAUUCAACAAUAUCUACUACUACUUUGAGCUCUUAUGAGUAAUAAGACACUGUAUGUGCAAAUACCCAUUUUAGUGCCUAGUACCUAGUAAAUUCUCAAAUAAUUUUGGUUUCAAAUAUAUGAAAUAAUGGUUUUGGCUUUUUAAAAAUAUGAUGAAACACCAUCAAACUUGUAUCAGUAUCUCAAUAAGACAUAAGCCUAAGCAAUGCCCCCAAACACCAAUGUAUGCAUAGAGGACUGGUUAACAAUCAUGCUAUUUAAGAGAUGUUCGUAAUCACAUUGUUAGAUUAUAACAGACACUAUUUAGUAAACUGUUAACUUUUUUCCCAUUUCAUUCUUAAAAAUCUCAAAACAAGCACAGCUGUUAUAGAAACUUAGACAAAGUAAGGGAACCAGUUUCAGUCUCACUCAAUACUGCAGCCAACUCUUAAGGAAAAGGCUUGGUCCAGAUUUUCCAAAGCUGUAAAUAAUGCACAUGGUAUAUGAUCUGGGCAAUAGAAUGGUUUUCAGUUUGGGGUAGCUCACGCUAAGCUUGUGCGUGUUAUCCUGAAUAAAUAGGUCUUUUGGAAACAACUCACUAACCCUAGAAUGUCUACAAGGGUGAGGAAAUUCUGCCAUGAACUAGCUCCCAUUACGUGUGCCAAGAAAACUGAGUUAGUUCAUAAUACCCUCCUUCUUACUCUCCAAAGUCUCCAUAGUGUUCAGUUAUUCAAGAUUACAUAAAAGUUUUUAAGGAGUUAUUUGAAACUAAGAGGGUAAGAAUAUGAUAUAAAAAAUUUAAAAAAUCCCUUGCUUCCACCAUUAUACACACAAUGCAUAUACCAAGUUAUGACUCCAGCUAAUGAAAUAACCAUGUAUUACUAUUUGCAUUAACAAUAAUUCUACUUCAUCCAUGUCCCUACAAAGGACAUGAACUCAUCCUUUUUUAUGGCUGCAUAGUAUUCCAUGGUGUAUAUGUGCCACAUUUUCUUCUUAAAGUAUAAAAAAAAAUAAAAAUAAAAAAAUAAAAAAUACAAUAAUUCUAGUUUGACAUUUAGCUCAGUUGUUGACUUGCUUUGGAUUGUUCAUUUUAUUUCAACUUUAGAAGGAGUUGAUUAAUUUUGUUAAACUUAAUUGAUUCAAGGGUAUCAUAAAUUUCCAUUUUUAGUAUUUGCCACAUUAAAGCAAAUGGUGGACAAUUUAUGAUUUCAAAAGGUUCUAUUCUUGGUAAUUCUUAAUUAUUUUCAGAUAAAUCUAGUAAUUGGGUUGAAGCUACAGAGUUUUGUCAUUGUUUUUAGUGAAAGCCUAAGCAUAUAGAACAUGAGGUCCUGCCACAAGAAAAAUCAUUUUCCUUUUUCCCUCUUUUGGCAGUUCUCAUAUUGCGAUGCAAUUCUACUUAUGCACAUCUGUUUCCCCACUAGAUUGAGAACUCCUUAAGGCCAAGAAAUUCAUUUAAUUCACCUCUGUAUUUUCAGGAGCUAAUAUGCUGGCAUCCAGUAAGAACUCAAUAAAUGUUUUUAGGUAAAUAAUGUUUUAUAAAAAACAUAAAUUUAGUUGAAUAGCUUAUUUCCUAAUUUGGGAUUAAACUGGGUAUUUGUUUGCCUUCUAGUCCUGAGUAUUGAAUUAAAUGUUAUAUUUUGAUAUAUUCUCUUGUAGAGUCUUUUACACUGGUCUCUUAAGGGAUCUGAUAUAAUUUUCAGUAGAAACUGAUAUGCUAGGGAAAUCGAUUUCUGAUGAAGAUUAACACUUCUUACAUAUAUAGAGACAGUUUGAGCCAAUAGCAUAUAACACACUCAUGAAAUAUGAAUUUGAAUAGCCUGUAAAAAUAAAAUAAAUUCUGAAUGAGAAUAGAAAAGAAAAAGAAUCUUUUAUACUGGAUCAGAUUUGUCUAGAAAUGAACUAUUGGCUUUUUGAAACAUCAAAAGUAACCCAAUUAGCUUGGAUGUUCUACUUGUCUGGGUUUUUCUGAUCUACCUUAGGCCCCCCAGGCCUCCUUUUUGAUUCACACAGAAAGAGAAAGUAAAUGUUUAUAUGUAUUUUCUGCAUAAUGCUGUCUAGCUUAUUUCAAGUUUUAAAAAACUUCCAAGAAGAAAAUUAUCGGCCAGGCUCGAUGGCUCAUGCCUGUAAUCCCAGCACUUUGGGAGGCCGAGGCUGGUGGAUCACCUGAGUUCAGGAGUUUGAGACCAGCCUGGCCAACACAGCGAAACCCAAUGUCUACUAAAAAUACAAAAAUUAUCUGGGCGUGGUGGCACCUGACUGUGAUUCCAGCUGCUUGGGAGGCUGAGACAGGAGAAUCACUUGAACCCGGGAGGCGGAGGUUGCAGUGAGUCGAGAUCAUGCCACUGCACUCUACCCCGUGUGACAGAGCAAGGCUUCAUCUCAAGAAAAAAAGAAAGAAAAAGAAAGAGAGAGAGAGAGAGAGAGAGAGAGAGAGAGAGAAAGAGAGAAAGAAAAGAAAGAAAGAAAGAGAAAGAAAGAAAGAGAGAGAGAGAGAGAAAGAAAGAAGGAAGGAAGGAAGGAAAGAAAAAGAAAGAAAGAAAGAAAAAGAAAGAGAAAGAAAGAAAGAAAGGAAGGAAGGAAAAGAAAAUUAUCAUCAUCAGUCAGAAGAACAGAGCACAUUUUGAAACUCACCUUUAAUUAAAAUUAGAUAGCAGAUCUCAAAUCUUUCAUGCAAAUUUGUUCAUGACUUUUUCAAAGCUUCCAGGAGUGUGUUACAGUUUGUAAAGCAUGCAUUUGGGUCUCAUGAAAAGAAGUAGUUUAUGAAAAAGGGUCUAUCUAGCAUGAAUAUAUUUCAAAUGGGGCACAUGUCCUUACAAUAUUUUAAUAAAUUUGUAUUAAAGGUGUAAAAUAAGUUUAUAUAUUGUAAUACAGUGUUGUUUUACUUAGAAAAAAUUAUUGAAAAUAUUUUUUUUUCAACUGCUGAGAAAAGAAUUGGCCCUGGUAUAGUCAAGGUUUAUUUCUCGAAUUUAAAGCUAAAUUUACCUUCAGAGAGAGAAAAAAUAAAGGAUAACAGGACCAAAUUGGAAUUUUGCACGUACGUGUUGUACAUUGUUUUAUCUUUUAUAUAUCAUACAUUACCACAGGGAACGUUAGUUGCAUAGACUUGUUUUGUGAGAGCAAUAGUUUUCAGAUUAUUUUGUUAAGAAUGUGUUUAUCAUCUCAAAAUAUAUGGUUAUUUGGUAAAGAUU
rnacentral:lncRNA from 1 species